rnacentral:tRNA from 1 species
UCCCUGGUGGUGCAGUGGUUUGGACUCCCACUUCCAAUGCAGGAGGUGCGGGUUCGAUCCCCGGUCAGGGAA